rnacentral:lncRNA from 1 species
AACCACUAGAAAAACAUUUAUUAGUGUCAGCCAAUUGAAUACGCUAAAGAUGAAAAAACUAACACUAAUAUGUCACUACUACGGAAAACACUUAUCACAACUGUUGGAAAAGGGAUACCACCAUAUUGGACCAACCGUUGUGAGGUAAGGUAUAGUUGUAUGUACGAUGCUUUCCAUAUAAUCUUUCAACCUGAUCUAGAAUAUUAUAAUAUGACAAAUUAAGUUAUAUUAGAAGAAC